CUUUCUUUCCCAGGCUGGCGCUGAGAUGGGCAGGUGCUGCAGCAGCCCCGCUGGAAGCGAUGCAGCAUCCAGAACGACGGAGGAAGGGGCGGAGAGGGACCUCUGCUUUCCAGGCUGCCUUUUAUACUGCCUCUGGUCACCUGACAUGGAACGUACCCUAACCUAAUCAGUUACCUGUACCUUAAUUGCAAUUAACUUAAUCCAGUUACAUGACCUGGAAAGGUCUAUCUGCACAGCCCACUCUAAGAUCCUGUCCACUGCUGACAGACAUUCUAAAACCUACUUGUACAGCUGCAAGCUUUGAACAAUAGAUGUUCCCCGUCAGACAUGUAACACUGGUGCCUGUAUCCCUGUCUUCUUUUCCAUCUUUUUUGUUGUUUUGUUUUGUUUCGUUUUAAAAAAUGUGGUAAAAUAGACACCUUUUAAUUGGACCACAUUUUGUCUCUCUCGACGUAGGCCUCAGUGUCAUCAAGGAGACUCUCCUUGACAUGCAGUCACGGCCAUGAUCCAUCUUCAGAGCUUCUCUUUCUUCCCCAAGGUAAGUCUGUCAGCAGAGAACCCUGACCGCACCCUCAUGUGUUUUCUCCCCCAGGAGGCGCUUGGAAACCACCGUGAAUUGGACCGCACUGGGAAACACAGAUGAGGAAAGUCAACAACGCUUUGUCCUUCAGUGCCUGCCUCCUUUUUCAGCUCGUCUUGCGACUCCCGGACGCCUGUGAGGCUCUAAUUCCCUGGGUCCCAUUGCCAUGUCUCUGGAUUUGCGAAGAUCCACCGCACCUUCUGUGGAACUCCCGUGUCGGUGAACUUUUGUGCCACGGCCCCUAAUUCUGCCCAUGGUCAUCCGCACCUGCACGACUUAGGGUCCAUGUUCCUUGGACGGGAAGAGACAGGCAGGAGUCGGAAUGAUGAACCAGCACACUGGGGCGUUUUCUCAUGUAGCCCAAGUGACCCCAUGGUCUUCUCGAGCUUUGGAACCAGUCGCGUCCCCUUUGACACUGCACCCGGCUCCCAGUCUCUCAAUCUUGUUGGCCCUCCGGCGAUCUCCCGUUGGAUGAAUUGCUCCUGCUGAAACUCCAGUCCCCUUUGAUUUGCGCUUCAUUAAUUAUUCAUGAUUCAGGUUGGAAGGCCUGCUGACGACCCCCUGUGGCCGUUCUCUGAGCUUUCCUGUCACAUCGUUUCCUUCCACGCUCUUUGGUUCCUUAUGGUCCUGCUCCCUCUGCUGUCAGAGGAGCAGAGAGUUGAUCUUAUUCAUUCUGGAUACGGAUACUUUCUAGGUGAUCUGGAUAAUCAAGAUAACGACCCUCAACAGCGGCGGAGAGGGAGCAGCCAGUUGGUGUGUCUCAGAAAAUCCCACUGAGUUCCGAGGCCUCCUAGAUGUGGAAUCCUGCUGAGAGUUGUUCCCAGGUCAGAGAAUGGAGAGAGCCUGUGCAUGAUGGGACAUCCCCGCCUAGAUCUUUCAGUGAGUCUCUACCUCAGCUACUCUUAGGAUCAGGGGGAGAACCAUGGUGUCAGACAUCCGGAAAGAAGACGGGAUGAAUGUUUUACCUCUGAAGUACAUCCCAAAUGUGGGAGUUAACUUCAGCUUUGCUGGGGUCUAUUUGGCCAGUGAAACUCUGCCUGGUUCCUUCGCACAUCCGGAAGCCACUUCACGGGGGGCCGUCGCAACUGGAACCACACACUUGGCAUCGGCGGUUGAGCCAAAUGGGGACUCGUGGUGCAAGCAACGCUCCCCACGUGUUAGCGUGCGUGAGAUGCGGUUGGCGGAAUUUUACUAGGUGCGUGUUGGUAGAGUGGGGCUGAGGUUUUCUUGCUCCUGUGGAUGUAUAGCAAGUCAAAGGUCCUGCCCAGCCCUGCGGUCCCCUCAGUCAACUCUGUUUCGGAGACGUAACGAUUUGGAUUGCCAACAAGUCAAGAAAUGUUCAAGCCCUUGGAUGUAGGGUAAAGAAAGAGAGAUCAGACUGUCACUGUGUCUAUGUAGAAGGGGAAGACAUAAGAGACUCCAUUUUGAAAAAGACCUGUAGUUUAAACAAUUGCUUUGCUGAGAUGUUGAUCAUUUGUAGCUUUGCCGCAGCCCCUUCCUUUGACCCAACUUGGAGCUCACAAAAACCUGUGUUGUAUAAAAUCGAGGUUUAAGGGAUCUAGGGCUGUGCAGGACGCGCCUUGUUAACCAAAUGUUUACGAGCAGUAUACUUGGUAGGAGUCAUUGCCAUUCCCUAGUCUCAAUAAACCAGGGGCGCAAUGCACCGUGGAAAGCCACAGGGACCUCUGCCCUUGAAAGCAGGGUAUUGUCCAAGGUUUCUCCCCAUGUGACAGUCUGAAAUAUGGCCUCGUGGGAUGGGAAAGACCUGACUGUCCCCCAGCCUGACACCCGCAAUGGGUCUGUGCUGAGGUGGAUUAGUCAAAGAGGAAAGCCUCUUGCAGUUCAGAUGGAGGAAGGCCACUGUCUCCUGCUUGCCCCUGGGAACUGAAUGUCUCGGUGUAAAGCCCGAUCGUACAUUUGUUCAACUCUGAGCUCGGAGAAAAGCUGCCCUGUGGCGGGAGGCGAGACAUGUUGGCAGUAAUGCUGCCUUGUUAUUCUUUACUCCGCUGAGAUAUUUGUGUGGAGAGAAACAUAAAUCUGGCCUACGUGCACGUCCAGGCAUAGUACCUUCCCUUGAACUUAAUAAUGAUAUGGAUUCUUUUGCUCACGUGUUUGUUUUUGUUGUUGCUGUUGAACUUCCCCUUAUUAUCACCCUGCUCCCCUACUGCAUUCCUUUGUGCUGUAAUAAUGAUAAUCAUAAUCAAUAAAAACUGAGGGAACUCAGAGGCCGGUGCCGGUGCAGGUCCUAGGUGUGCUGAGUGCCGGUCCCCUGGACCCACUGUUGUCUCCCUAUCUUUCUUUCCCAGGCUGGCGCUGAGAUGGGCAGGUGCUGCAGCAGCCCCGCUGGAAGCGAUGCAGCAUCCAGAACGACGGAGGAAGGGGCGGAGAGGGACCUCUGCUUUCCAGGCUGCCUUUUAUACUGCCUCUGGUCACCUGACAUGGAACGUACCCUAACCUAAUCAGUUACCUGUACCUUAAUUGCAAUUAACUUAAUCCAGUUACAUGACCUGGAAAGGUCUAUCUGCACAGCCCACUCUAAGAUCCUGUCCACUGCUGACAGACAUUCUAAAACCUACUUGUACAGCUGCAAGCUUUGAACAAUAGAUGUUCCCCGUCAGACAUGUAACACUGGUGCCUGUAUCCCUGUCUUCUUUUCCAUCUUUUUUGUUGUUUUGUUUUGUUUCGUUUUAAAAAAUGUGGUAAAAUAGACACCUUUUAAUUGGACCACAUUUUGUCUCUCUCGACGUAGGCCUCAGUGUCAUCAAGGAGACUCUCCUUGACAUGCAGUCACGGCCAUGAUCCAUCUUCAGAGCUUCUCUUUCUUCCCCAAGGUAAGUCUGUCAGCAGAGAACCCUGACCGCACCCUCAUGUGUUUUCUCCCCCAGGAGGCGCUUGGAAACCACCGUGAAUUGGACCGCACUGGGAAACACAGAUGAGGAAAGUCAACAACGCUUUGUCCUUCAGUGCCUGGCUCCUUUUUCAGCUCGUCUUGCGACUCCCGGACGCCUGUGAGGCUCUAAUUCCCUGGGUCCCAUUGCCAUGUCUCUGGAUUUGCGAAGAUCCACCGCACCUUCUGUGGAACUCCCGUGUCGGUGAACUUUUGUGCCACGGCCCCUAAUUCUGCCCAUGGUCAUCCGCACCUGCACGACUUAGGGUCCAUGUUCCUUGGACGGGAAGAGACAGGCAGGAGUCGGAAUGAUGAACCAGCACACUGGGGCGUUUUCUCAUGUAGCCCAAGUGACCCCAUGGUCUUCUCGAGCUUUGGAACCAGUCGCGUCCCCUUUGACACUGCACCCGGCUCCCAGUCUCUCAAUCUUGUUGGCCCUCCGGCGAUCUCCCGUUGGAUGAAUUGCUCCUGCUGAAACUCCAGUCCCCUUUGAUUUACGCUUCAUUAAUUAUUCAUGAUUCAGGUUGGAAGGCCUGCUGACGACCCCCUGUGGCCGUUCUCUGAGCUUUCCUGUCACAUCGUUUCCUUCCACGCUCUUUGGUUCCUUAUGGUCCUGCUCCCUCUGCUGUCAGAGGAGCAGAGAGUUGAUCUUAUUCAUUCUGGAUACGGAUACUUUCUAGGUGAUCUGGAUAAUCAAGAUAACGACCCUCAACAGCGGCGGAGAGGGAGCAGCCAGUUGGUGUGUCUCAGAAAAUCCCACUGAGUUCCGAGGCCUCCUAGAUGUGGAAUCCUGCUGAGAGUUGUUCCCAGGUCAGAGAAUGGAGAGAGCCUGUGCAUGAUGGGAUAUCCCCGCCUAGAUCUUUCAGUGAGUCUCUACCUCAGCUACUCUUAGGAUCAGGGGGAGAACCAUGGUGUCAGACAUCCGGAAAGAAGACGGGAUGAAUGUUUUACCUCUGAAGUACAUCCCAAAUGUGGGAGUUAACUUCAGCUUUGCUGGGGUCUAUUUGGCCAGUGAAACUCUGCCUGGUUCCUUCGCACAUCCGGAAGCCACUUCACGGGGGGCCGUCGCAACUGGAACCACACACUUGGCAUCGGCGGUUGAGCCAAAUGGGGACUCGUGGUGCAAGCAACGCUCCCCACGUGUUAGCGUGCGUGAGAUGCGGUUGGCGGAAUUUUACUAGGUGCGUGUUGGUAGAGUGGGGCUGAGGUUUUCUUGCUCCUGUGGAUGUAUAGCAAGUCAAAGGUCCUGCCCAGCCCUGCGGUCCCCUCAGUCAACUCUGUUUCGGAGACGUAACGAUUUGGAUUGCCAACAAGUCAAGAAAUGUUCAAGCCCUUGGAUGUAGGGUAAAGAAAGAGAGAUCAGACUGUCACUGUGUCUAUGUAGAAGGGGAAGACAUAAGAGACUCCAUUUUGAAAAAGACCUGUAGUUUAAACAAUUGCUUUGCUGAGAUGUUGAUCAUUUGUAGCUUUGCCGCAGCCCCUUCCUUUGACCCAACUUGGAGCUCACAAAAACCUGUGUUGUAUAAAAUCGAGGUUUAAGGGAUCUAGGGCUGUGCAGGACGCGCCUUGUUAACCAAAUGUUUACGAGCAGUAUACUUGGUAGGAGUCAUUGCCAUUCCCUAGUCUCAAUAAACCAGGGGCGCAAUGCACCGUGGAAAGCCACAGGGACCUCUGCCCUUGAAAGCAGGUUAUUGUCCAAGGUUUCUCCCCAUGUGACAGUCUGAAAUAUGGCCUCGUGGGAUGGGAAAGACCUGACUGUCCCCCAGCCUGACACCCGCAAUGGGUCUGUGCUGAGGUGGAUUAGUCAAAGAGGAAAGCCUCUUGCAGUUCAGAUGGAGGAAGGCCACUGUCUCCUGCUUGCCCCUGGGAACUGAAUGUCUCGGUGUAAAGCCCGAUCGUACAUUUGUUCAACUCUGAGCUCGGAGAAAAGCUGCCCUGUGGCGGGAGGCGAGACAUGUUGGCAGUAAUGCUGCCUUGUUAUUCUUUACUCCGCUGAGAUAUUUGUGUGGAGAGAAACAUAAAUCUGGCCUACGUGCACGUCCAGGCAUAGUACCUUCCCUUGAACUUAAUAAUGAUAUGGAUUCUUUUGCUCACGUGUUUGUUUUUGUUGUUGCUGUUGAACUUCCCCUUAUUAUCACCCUGCUCCCCUACUGCAUUCCUUUGUGCUGUAAUAAUGAUAAUCAUAAUCAAUAAAAACUGAGGGAACUCAGAGGCCGGUGCCGGUGCAGGUCCUAGGUGUGCUGAGUGCCGGUCCCCUGGACCCACUGUUGUCUCCCUAUCUUUCUUUCCCAGGCUGGCGCUGAGAUGGGCAGGUGCUGCAGCAGCCCCGCUGGAAGCGAUGCAGCAUCCAGAACGACGGAGGAAGGGGCGGAGAGGGACCUCUGCUUUCCAGGCUGCCUUUUAUACUGCCUCUGGUCACCUGACAUGGAACGUACCCUAACCUAAUCAGUUACCUGUACCUUAAUUGCAAUUAACUUAAUCCAGUUACAUGACCUGGAAAGGUCUAUCUGCACAGCCCACUCUAAGAUCCUGUCCACUGCUGACAGACAUUCUAAAACCUACUUGUACAGCUGCAAGCUUUGAACAAUAGAUGUUCCCCGUCAGACAUGUAACACUGGUGCCUGUAUCCCUGUCUUCUUUUCCAUCUUUUUUGUUGUUUUGUUUUGUUUCGUUUUAAAAAAUGUGGUAAAAUAGACACCUUUUAAUUGGACCACAUUUUGUCUCUCUCGACGUAGGCCUCAAUGUCAUCAAGGAGACUCUCCUUGACAUGCAGUCACGGCCAUGAUCCAUCUUCAGAGCUUCUCUUUCUUCCCCAAGGUAAGUCUGUCAGCAGAGAACCCUGACCGCACCCUCAUGUGUUUUCUCCCCCAGGAGGCGCUUGGAAACCACCGUGAAUUGGACCGCACUGGGAAACACAGAUGAGGAAAGUCAACAACGCUUUGUCCUUCAGUGCCUGGCUCCUUUUUCAGCUCGUCUUGCGACUCCCGGACGCCUGUGAGGCUCUAAUUCCCUGGGUCCCAUUGCCAUGUCUCUGGAUUUGCGAAGAUCCACCGCACCUUCUGUGGAACUCCCGUGUCGGUGAACUUUUGUGCCACGGCCCCUAAUUCUGCCCAUGGUCAUCCGCACCUGCACGACUUAGGGUCCAUGUUCCUUGGACGGGAAGAGACAGGCAGGAGUCGGAAUGAUGAACCAGCACACUGGGGCGUUUUCUCAUGUAGCCCAAGUGACCCCAUGGUCUUCUCGAGCUUUGGAACCAGUCGCGUCCCCUUUGACACUGCACCCGGCUCCCAGUCUCUCAAUCUUGUUGGCCCUCCGGCGAUCUCCCGUUGGAUGAAUUGCUCCUGCUGAAACUCCAGUCCCCUUUGAUUUGCGCUUCAUUAAUUAUUCAUGAUUCAGGUUGGAAGGCCUGCUGACGACCCCCUGUGGCCGUUCUCUGAGCUUUCCUGUCACAUCGUUUCCUUCCACGCUCUUUGGUUCCUUAUGGUCCUGCUCCCUCUGUUGUCAGAGGAGCAGAGAGUUGAUCUUAUUCAUUCUGGAUACGGAUACUUUCUAGGUGAUCUGGAUAAUCAAGAUAACGACCCUCAACAGCGGCGGAGAGGGAGCAGCCAGUUGGUGUGUCUCAGAAAAUCCCACUGAGUUCCGAGGCCUCCUAGAUGUGGAAUCCUGCUGAGAGUUGUUCCCAGGUCAGAGAAUGGAGAGAGCCUGUGCAUGAUGGGAUAUCCCCGCCUAGAUCUUUCAGUGAGUCUCUACCUCAGCUACUCUUAGGAUCAGGGGGAGAACCAUGGUGUCAGACAUCCGGAAAGAAGACGGGAUGAAUGUUUUACCUCUGAAGUACAUCCCAAAUGUGGGAGUUAACUUCAGCUUUGCUGGGGUCUAUUUGGCCAGUGAAACUCUGCCUGGUUCCUUCGCACAUCCGGAAGCCACUUCACGGGGGGCCGUCGCAACUGGAACCACACACUUGGCAUCGGCGGUUGAGCCAAAUGGGGACUCGUGGUGCAAGCAACGCUCCCCACGUGUUAGCGUGCGUGAGAUGCGGUUGGCGGAAUUUUACUAGGUGCGUGUUGGUAGAGUGGGGCUGAGGUUUUCUUGCUCCUGUGGAUGUAUAGCAAGUCAAAGGUCCUGCCCAGCCCUGCGGUCCCCUCAGUCAACUCUGUUUCGGAGACGUAACGAUUUGGAUUGCCAACAAGUCAAGAAAUGUUCAAGCCCUUGGAUGUAGGGUAAAGAAAGAGAGAUCAGACUGUCACUGUGUCUAUGUAGAAGGGGAAGACAUAAGAGACUCCAUUUUGAAAAAGACCUGUAGUUUAAACAAUUGCUUUGCUGAGAUGUUGAUCAUUUGUAGCUUUGCCGCAGCCCCUUCCUUUGACCCAACUUGGAGCUCACAAAAACCUGUGUUGUAUAAAAUCGAGGUUUAAGGGAUCUAGGGCUGUGCAGGACGCGCCUUGUUAACCAAAUGUUUACGAGCAGUAUACUUGGUAGGAGUCAUUGCCAUUCCCUAGUCUCAAUAAACCAGGGGCGCAAUGCACCGUGGAAAGCCACAGGGACCUCUGCCCUUGAAAGCAGGGUAUUGUCCAAGGUUUCUCCCCAUGUGACAGUCUGAAAUAUGGCCUCGUGGGAUGGGAAAGACCUGACUGUCCCCCAGCCUGACACCCGCAAUGGGUCUGUGCUGAGGUGGAUUAGUCAAAGAGGAAAGCCUCUUGCAGUUCAGAUGGAGGAAGGCCACUGUCUCCUGCUUGCCCCUGGGAACUGAAUGUCUCGGUGUAAAGCCCGAUCGUACAUUUGUUCAACUCUGAGCUCGGAGAAAAGCUGCCCUGUGGCGGGAGGCGAGACAUGUUGGCAGUAAUGCUGCCUUGUUAUUCUUUACUCCGCUGAGAUAUUUGUGUGGAGAGAAACAUAAAUCUGGCCUACGUGCACGUCCAGGCAUAGUACCUUCCCUUGAACUUAAUAAUGAUAUGGAUUCUUUUGCUCACGUGUUUGUUUUUGUUGUUGCUGUUGAACUUCCCCUUAUUAUCACCCUGCUCCCCUACUGCAUUCCUUUGUGCUGUAAUAAUGAUAAUCAUAAUCAAUAAAAACUGAGGGAACUCAGAGGCCGGUGCCGGUGCAGGUCCUAGGUGUGCUGAGUGCCGGUCCCCUGGACCCACUGUUGUCUCCCUAU
rnacentral:lncRNA from 10 species